GACGAACGCUGGCGGCGUGCCUAAUACAUGCAAGUAGAACGCAGUUGCACACGGGUGAGUUACGCGUAGGUAACUGCCUGGUAGCGGGGGAUAACUAUUGGAAACGAUAGCUAAUACCGCAUACUACAAGAUGGACCUGUGUGGUAUGAGCUAGUUGGUGGGGUAACGGCUAACCAAGGCAACGAUACAUAGCCGACCUGCGAGGGUGAGCGGCCACACUGGGACUGAGCAACGGCCCAGACUCCUACGGGAGGCAGCAGGAGGGAAUCUUCGGCAAUUGGCGGAAGUCUGACCCAGCAACGCCGCGUGAGUUAAGAAGGGUUUCGGAUCGUAAAGCUCUGUUGUAAGAGAAGCGGUAUCUUACCAGAAAGGGACGGCUAACUACGUGCCAGCAGCCGCGGUAAUAC
rnacentral:rRNA from 1 species